rnacentral:rRNA from 1 species
GACGAACGCUGGCGGCGUGCUUAACACAUGCAAGUCGAACGGAAAGGCCCUGCUUUUGUGGGGUGCUCGAGUGGCGAACGGGUGAGUAACACGUGAGUAACCUGCCCUUGACUUUGGGAUAACUUCAGGAAACUGGGGCUAAUACCGGAUAGGAGCUCCUGCUGCAUGGUGGGGGUUGGAAAGUUUCGGCGGUUGGGGAUGGACUCGCGGCUUAUCAGCUUGUUGGUGGGGUAGUGGCUUACCAAGGCUUUGACGGGUAGCCGGCCUGAGAGGGUGACCGGCCACCUUGGGCCUGAGAGACGGACCAGACUCCUACGGGAGGCAGCAGUGGGGAAUAUUGCCCAAUGGGCGGAAGCCUGAUGCAGCAACGCCGCGUGCGGGAUGACGGCCUUCGGGUUGUAAACCGCUUUCGCCUGUGACGAAGCGUGAGUGACGGUAAUGGGUAAAGAAGCACCGGCUAACUACGUG